rnacentral:misc_RNA from 1 species
AAAGUCGUAACAAGGUUUCCGUAGGUGAACCUGCGGAAGGAUCAUUAAAGUGUUAGCCUGUAUACCCAGUAUACGGGCGAAACUCCACCCUUGACUACUAUACCACAUGUUGCUUUGGCGGGCCCGCCUUCAGGCCGCCGGGGGUUCGCCCCUGGCCCGCGCCCGCCGGAGAAAUACUGAACCCUUUGUGAAAUUGAACGUCUGAGUUGAUUAUCAAUCAUUAAAACUUUCAACAAUGGAUCUCUUGGUUCCG